UGGGGAAUCUUAGACAAUGGGGGAAACCCUGAUCUAGCCAUGCCGCGUGAUCGAUGAAGGCCUUAGGGUUGUAAAGAUCUUUCAGGUGGGAAGAUAAUGACUGUACCACCAGAAGAAGCCCCGGCUAACUCCGUGCCAGCAGCCGCGGUAAUACGGAGGGGGCUAGCGUUAUUCGGAAUUACUGGGCGUAAAGCGCACGUAGGCGGACUGAAAAGUCAGAGGUGAAAUCCCAGGGCUCAACCUUGGAACUGCCUUUGAAACUCUCAGUCUUGAGGUCGAGAGAGGUGAGUGGAAUUCCGAGUGUAGAGGUGAAAUUCGUAGAUAUUCGGAGGAACACCAGUGGCGAAGGCGGCUCACUGGCUCGAUACUGACGCUGAGGUGCGAAAGCGUGGGGAGCAAACA
rnacentral:rRNA from 1 species